GUCGAGGGGUAACAGGAGUAGCUUGCUAUUUGCUGACGACCGGCGCACGGGUGCGUAACGCGUAUAGAAUCUACCUUAUACUGGGGGAUAGCCUUUGGAAACGAAGAUUAAUACCCCAUAGUAUUAUUUUUUGGCAUCAUUAAAUAAUUAAAGUUUCGGCGGUAUAAGAUGACUAUGCGUUCUAUUAGUUAGUUGGUAAGGUAACGGCUUACCAAGACUUCGAUAGAUAGGGGUCCUGAGAGGGAGAUCCCCCACACUGGUACUGAGACACGGACCAGACUCCUACGGGAGGCAGCAGUGAGGAAUAUUGGACAAUGGAGGCAACUCUGAUCCAGCCAUGCCGCGUGUAGGAAGACUGCCCUAUGGGUUGUAAACUACUUUUAUAUGGGAAGAAUAAGAUCUACGUGUAGAUNGAUGACGGUACCAUAAGAAUAAGCACCGGCUAACUCCGUGCCAGCAGCCGCGGUAAUACGGAGGGUGCAAGCGUUAUCCGGAAUCAUUGGGUUUAAAGGGUCCGUAGGCGGGCAUAUAAGUCAGUGGUGAAAGUCUGUGGCUNAACCAUAGAAUUGCCAUUGAUACUGUAUGUCUUGAAUUAUUGUGAAGUGGUUAGAAUAUGUAGUGUAGCGGUGAAAUGCUUAGAGAUUACAUAGAAUACCGAUUGCGAAGGCAGAUCACUAACAAUAUAUUGACGCUGAUGGACGAAAGCGUAGGUAGCGAACAGGAUUAGAUACCCUGGUAGUCUACGCCGUAAACGAUGGAUACUAGUUGUUUGGUUUUCGGACUGAGUGACUAAGCGAAAGUGAUAAGUAUCCCACCUGGGGAGUACGUUCGCAAGAAUGAAACUCAAAGGAAUUGACGGGGGCCCGCACAAGCGGUGGAGCAUGUGGUUUAAUUCGAUGAUACGCGAGGAACCUUACCAGGGCUUAAAUGUAGUCUGACAGCUUUAGAGAUAGAGUUUUCUUCGGACAGAUUACAAGGUGCUGCAUGGUUGUCGUCAGCUCGUGCCGUGAGGUGUCAGGUUAAGUCCUAUAACGAGCGCAACCCCUGUGGUUAGUUGCCAGCGAGUAAUGUCGGGAACUCUAGCCAGACUGCCGGUGCAAACCGUGAGGAAGGUGGGGAUGACGUCAAAUCAUCACGGCCCUUACGUCCUGGGCCACACACGUGCUACAAUGGUAGGGACAGAGAGCAGCCACUUAGCGAUAAGGAGCGAAUCUAUAAACCCUAUCUCAGUUCGGAUUGGAGUCUGCAACUCGACUCCAUGAAGCUGGAAUCGCUAGUAAUCGGAUAUCAGCCAUGAUCCGGUGAAUACGUUCCCGGGCCUUGUACACACCGCCCGUCAAGCCAUGGAAGCUGGGGGUACCUGAAGUCCGUCACCGUAAGGAGCG
rnacentral:rRNA from 1 species